rnacentral:rRNA from 1 species
GACGAACGCUGGCGGCGUGCUUAACACAUGCAAGUCGAACGGAAAGGCCCUGCUUUUGUGGGGUGCUCGAGUGGCGAACGGGUGAGUAACACGUGAGUAACCUGCCCUUGACUUUGGGAUAACUUCAGGAAACUGGGGCUAAUACCGGAUAGGAGCUCCUGCUGCAUGGUGGGGGUUGGAAAGUUUCGGCGGUUGGGGAUGGACUCGCGGCUUAUCAGCUUGUUGGUGGGGUAGUGGCUUACCAAGGCUUUGACGGGUAGCCGGCCUGAGAGGGUGACCGGCCAAAUGGGGCUGGGGUUACGGCCCAGAUUCCUACGGGAGGCAGAGGUGGGGAUUAUGGACCAUGGGGGGGAGGCUGAUGGAGCAACGGCGGCUGGGGGGAUACCGGCCUCGGGGUUGUAACCGGCUUUGGCUUGGGAGGAGGCGUGGGGGCGGGUAUGGGUAAAGAAGCACCGGCUAACUACGUG